GUCCACGCCCUAAACUAUGUCGACUGGUUGUUGGGUGGGUAACCACUUAGUAACGAAGCUAACGCGUGAAGUCGACAGCCUGGGGAGUACGGUCGCAAGAUUAAAACUCAAAGGAAUUGACGGGGACCCGCACAAGCGGUGGAUGAUGUGGUUUAAUUCGAUGCAACGCGAAAAACCUUACCUACACUUUACAUGUCAGAGAUCCUUCAGAGAUGAGGGAGUGCCGCAAGGAAUCUGAACACAGGUGCUGCAUGGCUGUCGU
rnacentral:rRNA from 1 species